rnacentral:rRNA from 1 species
GACGAACGCUGGCGGCGUGCUUAACACAUGCAAGUCGAACGGAGAGGCGAACGGGUGAGUAACGCGUAAUCAACCUGCCCUUGCGGGGGGUAAAACCGUGGGCAACGUAUGAUAAUACCGCAUAGUGCAGGGGGGGAUGGAGUCUGAGUAGCUAGUUGGGGGGGUAACGGCCAACCAAGGCGAGGCUCAGUAGCCGGGCUGAGAGGAUGAACGGCCAAAUUGGGACUGAGACACGGCCCAGACUCCUACGGGAGGCAGCAGUGGGGAAGCGUCCGCAAUUGAGGGAAGUCGUACUGAGCAACUCCGCGUGAGUGAUGACGGCCUUCGGGGUGUAAAGGUCUUUUCAUCGGGACGCGUUACCGGAAUAGAAAGCCACGGCUAACUACGUGCCAGCAGCCGCGGUAAUAC